GACAGGAUAUUCUGAUUGAAUAUUAAAUGCGGAAUAAUAAAUAAUGGAACCAGGUCAGGUGAAAUUCACACCGAUAGGAUAUUCCGAUAGAAUAUUAAAUGCGGAAUAAUAAAUAAUGGAAUAACAACAGAAUUUCACCAGGUAUAGGGUAAACCGCAUAUACAGGUUUUUCCACCAAGUAUAGGGUAAACCGCGCAUACAGGUUAUUCCAACAGAAUAAAAAAGAAUGGAAUAACAGAAGGAUUUCACCAAGUAUAGGGGAUUCCGCGUAUACAGGUUAUUCCAGCAGAAUAAUAAAGAAUGAAUUAACAAAAGAAUUUUACCAAGUAUAGGGGAUUUCCGCCUAUACAGGUUAUUCCAACAGAAUAAUAAAGAAUGGAAUAACAGAAGUUCUCUUCAUGAAUAUGAAAGAAUAACACCCCUUACCGUAAAAGAAACUGGAUAUAGAAGUAGUGAAGUAGCAUUCUUCUUUCUCUUUAUAGAUUUUCUCUCUAUAGCUUCUCAAUAUAAUUUCUCUCUCUAGAGUUUCAAUGAAUUCGUAAGAAAUAAUGAAGGAAUGAGCUUCUAUUUAUAGAAGAAUGGAUUUCAUAGUAACUAAUUCCUAAACGGUCC
rnacentral:lncRNA from 1 species